rnacentral:rRNA from 1 species
UACGAAGGGUGCAAACGUUGCUCGGAAUUAUUGGGCGUAAAGCGCGUGUAGGCGGCUAAGUAAGUCGGGCGUGAAAUCCCACGGCUCAACCGUGGAAGUGCACUCGAAACUGCAUAGCUAGAGUCCUGGAGAGGGAUGCGGAAUUCCAGGUGUAGCGGUGAAAUGCGUAGAUAUCUGGAGGAACACCGGUGGCGAAGGCGGCGUUCUGGACUGCAACUGACACUGAUGAACGAAAGCCAGGGGAGCAAACGGG